AAUACUGUGUGUAACUGGCGUAAACAUGGAAACCCAUGAGGGAGCACACAGAUUAAAAGCCGUUCGCCUGGGCAAAGUAU
rnacentral:ncRNA from 1 species